GACUAUCAAACACUAUUUCUAUUAUAAGUGUCUUCCAAUUAUUCUACUACAAAUGCACACAAUCACAGAAGAGAACAAAUUAAAUGUAUGGAUGUGAAAUAAAACUGUUAGUUUUGAUCGUAGUGAGUGAAUUAAGAUUUCUACUUGAUCCUCUUGUUUCUAGCAAAUAUGUAGUCUCUUGUCAAGCCAGAUUACUACUAAACAAAACCGGUGUAUAAGAUAUGUAGCUGGUCUAGCUCUUUAGAAAUUAUACAGUGCAUAAUUAUCUGUGAAUAUAGCCCCAGGCUACUGAAAACGUCAUCUAUAUACACAUGAAAAUGAUAUGAUUUUACUGGAAGAAAAAAAAAUACAAUUUCAAUUAGCUGGAAUCAUGGUAAUCAAAGCUGGUUUUGAUAUUGGAACCAUAAAAUCCUGAGCUCUUUGAGUUUUCAAUUAGCUGGAACCAUGGUAGUUUAAGCUGGUUUCGAUAUUGGAACCAUAAAAUCCUGAGUUUUUUGAAUCAGUUGAUGGAAUUGGUUAUCGUUAUAGCAUUUUUCAGGAAAAGGGAAAACAAAGAGAAAAAAAAAAUAGAAAGAAAGUGCUACGUAUCUCUGAAGGCUCAAUCACCUAUUUCUCAUAUACAUUUUUUUCUUAAAAAAAAUCUAUCAUUGGCCUCUAAUUAGUGUGUAGAAAUGUUAGUUUUUUUUUCUUAAUGACUAAACCCCUAAAGUCAACUUCAUCGGCCAGAAAAACUGAAAUCGAAUUCCAGAAAAAGUUUUAAAAGUUGAAUUAAUUCACAAAUGAAAAUUCCUUGCAGAAAUAAUUUUAGUCCAAUUCCUUGGAAGUCAUUUUAAACGUUGCAACAAUUUUCCAAGUCAAUUACAAAAUCUCUUGGAAUAAUAUACUAAUGUUGCCCCAUUUGAAUUUUUUUCUUAUGUUGCAUCAUUAUGACAUUAAUACUUCUCUGAAAUUUGUUUGAAAUUAUGAUUUAAAAAGAAAAAUAUAUCAUUCUUUUAAACCAUAGUUACUGUGUAAUUUUUCUUAUUAAUUGUUUUAGUUAAUUUUGUUAGUGGGUACUGUUUUAGCCUUAUUUGGGCUGUCGGGUGUAAGGGUCCAAGUGCCCACAUAUAUAUAACUAACAUUUAUACCCUGUUGCCUUUUGAGGAAUGUUAUUACACUUUACACAUUUUCUCUAUCUUCUGCAUUUUUCAUUCUUUUUGCACAAUCUAUCAUGGUAUCAGAACCAUAGACAACACCCAUGGCCUCCUCUUCAAAGUACUACAGAUUCUAAUGACGAUCUACAAUCUUCGACACUCAUCUCAGCUCCUACUGCUUCUCCGGUGGUUUCAGAGGCCCUUCCCACCACUACUGCCCUUCUGGCUCUACCCAACCCUCCUUCAGUGAAUCAGAGUAAAGCUAGAUGACAACAACUUCUUAGUUUGGAAGAAUCAACUUCUGAAUAUCGUGAUUGCAACUGGCCUUGAAGAUAUUCUUAACGGCCCUCCUCGGAUCACCGCACAAGAGCCCCUGCAGAUCAAUUCGGAAUAUACUUCAUGGCAGCAGUUUAAUCGUCUCCUCAUGAGCUGGAUCUAUGUGUCCAUCUCUGAAAAUAUGUUGGGUCAGUUAGUGGGUUACUCCACAGCUUCUGAGUUGCUUCUUUUGCUCGAAUCUCUGAAAUCCGCACUUCUUUACAAACAAUUAAGAAGGAUGGCCUUUCCGCUAUGGCUUAUGUAUAGAAAUUCAGAGUAUCCGCAACUCUCUAGCUGCUAUUGGGGAACCAAUUAGCUAUAAGGAUCAUCUCCAUUAUUUUCUCAGUGGUUUGGGCAUGGAGUAUAAUGCCUUUGUUACUUCGCUACAAAAUCGAUUGGAUAGGCCGCCUGUGGAAGAGGUCCAUAGCUUAUUGUUGAGUCAUGAUGCUCGGAUUGAAUGCCCUGCUGCCCAAUUGAGCUCCCUUCAAGCCAACAUGGCUCAUCUCCAAAUGAAUUUGUCUAAUGUUCAACCCCACAAGCCGAGACCUCGAUUUUCCCCUUCCAGCGGGUCUCCACAGCAACUAUCUUCUACUUAUCCUUCCGGUGUUUCGUGACCAAGGGGCUCUUCUAGUGACAUUCCCUCCCCGCUUCGAUCUUCUUGGUCUCCUUAUCGCCCACCGUCUGGUCCUCGCCCACAUUGUCAAAUAUGCUUCAUACCAGGACAUAUGGCUAAUCGUUGCUAUCAUAGGGCGAAUUUGCAAUAUCAGCCACCACCAUUUUCUCCCAAAAAUUUUAACACCAUGGCUCGUCCAUUUAUGCCACAGCCUAUUGCUCAUGUUGCCUCUGCUUCUACUCUUCAAGACCAGGCGUGGUAUAUGGAUUCUGGGGCCUCUCACCAUUUCACCCCGGAUCUGAAUAUGUUGGAAUCGGCCACUCCAUACACUGGCACUGACCAAGUCACAGUUGGAAAUGCACUAGGUCAGCCACCAGGUCCUUCUGCGGGGUCAUCUCGAUAGUGGUCUUUACUGGGUCAACCAGUCUCCCUCAUUUCCUCUCGUGUCCUCCUCAUCUCCUCAAGUUUAUGUCGCGACCAGUAACCCUUCAAAUCUGUGGCACUUUCGUCUGGGACACCCUCACAAGGAUGUUAUCAAGACAAUUUUGUCUAUUUGUAAUGUGUCUUCUGUUUCUAGUUGUAGUUUUGAUUUUUGUAACUCUUGUCCCCUGGCAAAAUCACACCGAUUGCCCUUUCAUUUGUCCACUUCUCGUACUAGUUCUAUGUUUGAAUUAUUACAUACGGAUUUAUGGGGUCCCUCCCUUGUUAACUCCAUUACUGGUGCCAAGUACUUUGUUCUCUUUAUUGAUGAUUUUACUGGUUUUGGAUGGUUUUAUUUACUGAAUUCCAAAGAUCAGACCUAUGAUGUUGUUUUAACUUUUCGUAAUAUGGUUAAAACACAAUUUAAUUGUACCAUUAAACGUGUUCGCUCCGAUUGGGGCGGUGAGUAUCGUUCUUUACACUCUUUUUUCACUAAGCUUGGUAUUCUUCAUGAGGUUUCUUGUCCCCAUACCCCACAACAAAAUGGGCGUGUGGAGCGCAAGAAUAGGCAUCUUGUUGAAACAGGGCUGGCUUUACUUGCUCAUUCUUCCAUGCCUUUAGCAUACUGGUCGUAUGCUUUUUCUACAAAAAUGUAUUUGAUUAGUCGCUUGCCUUCUCGGGUCUUAAAUAAUCAAUCUCCAUAUUUUUUGUUGUAUGGCAAGCAACCCUCUUAUCACCAUCUCCGCGCGUUUGGUUGUCUUUGUUUUCCAUUUUUUCGCCCCUUUAAUUCUCUCAAACUUGAAUUUCGGUCCCAACUGUGUGUUUUCCUUGGCUAUAGUAGUCAUCACAAAGGUUACUUAUGUUUGCUUGUCAAAACUGGGCGAAUUUAUGUUACAAGGCAUGUUGUGUUCAAUGAAGUUUCUUUUCCUUUUUCCAAUUCCUCCACUGUAUCUGCUCCAUCCCCUUCAUCACCACCUAUCAUCUCUUCUCUGCCGUUUAAUUCAGUGUCCUAUUCUCAUCCAAAUAUGGCUAGUCCUGUAUUCCAUUCCGCUCCCCCUCCUCCUGUUGUCUCCUGUCCUCCUACUGUCCACUCUUCCCCUGUGUUCCCCCCGGGUGUCCUCUUCUAGUCAGUCUCCCAUCCUUCUGUUUCUGUUGUUCCAUCUCCUCCUGUGGUACCAACAUUGAACAAUCAUCCCAUGGUGACCCGGUCCAAUGCGGGGUUAUUAAACCCCGUGUGUUUUGCACCAUUGCUGCCAACAUUCCUAUUGAACCAUCCUCAUAUUGUGAUGCUUCCAAAGAUGAUUGCUGGGUUCAAGCCAUGCAAACUGAGUUUGCUGCAUUACAGUCCCAAAGUACAUGGUCUUUGGUUCCCAAACCGCCACACUGUCGGGUUAUUGGUUCUAAUUGGGUUUAUCGGGUGAAGCUCAAAUCUGAUGGUUUUGUUGAUCAUUUUAAAGCCCGGUUGGUGGCGCAAGGCUUUACUCAAACUCAUGGCCUUGACUAUCAUGAAACCUUCAGCCCUGUUAUUAAGCCUACUACCAUCAUACUAGUUUUGAGUAUCGUUGUUUCUCGCAAUUGGCCACUUCGUCAGUUUGACAUACAAAACACAUUUUUACACAGCGAUUUACAAGAAGUUUUCAUGGCCCAACCACAAGGCUUCAUAGACACGACUCAUCCACACCAUGUAUAUGCAAGUUACAUGAGUCCAUUUAUGGCCUUAAACAAUCGCCCCGUGCCUGGUUUCUAAAAUUGAGUUCUGCUCUCACGGCUUGGGGCUUCAUUGGUUCAACUGCUGACACUUCUAUGUUUGUUUACCAUUCUGCUGCUCAUAUGCUGGUUGUGUUAGUGUAUGUCUAAAGGACCUUGGUGCUUUGCAUUUUUUCUUGGGCGUUGAGGUGACUUCUACUCCUACUGUUUUUGUAACGCCCUACUUCCUUAGAGCCGUUACUAAGUGAGUUUUUAAGACAAAACAGUGUGCAAUGAACUCGCUAACCGAGGUUUUGAAACAAAAGUGUGACUAAUUAAAAGUUAAGGCUGUAAUCUUUGAAAAUGCGUCGUUUCAUUAAAACUUCUAUUAUUAAACAUUUGGGAUCCCAAAAUAAGGUUUGAAAACUAAUUACGUUUUUGAAAUAAGGUUACAGUUAAGAAAUCAUAAAAUCAUAGAUUAUUACAGCCACUUUCGAAUAAACCCCCAACCAAAGCAGUCGGGCAGGCCGAAGAUGUACGCGCCGCUUCACGCUCUCCGUACUCAUGGUUGGUUGAUUCAGUCAUUGCCCUUACCUGCAACACAGAGCACCCAUGAGCCGAAGCCCAGCAAGAAAACUCAUGCAGAACAUAACAUAUGCAAUGUAUACAGUUAUCAUAACAGAUAAUCCAUAAAUAAACAAGUCAAUCAUUAGACUAAGCAAACACGGCCAAGCCGCCCCAGAGCCUUACCGAAGCCUGGGGUAUCGGUUCUCACCGCGAGGAUAACUCAUGUAUCCCUUGGGUCCCACCCUGAAUAUAGCAUAACACAUGUAUCCACCGGGCCCCGCCCUGACUAUAGCAUCCCAUGUGCUAGGUGUUACUUUCGGCCCACGGCCGCCCCGGCUUACGCCGUACUCGGCCCUUGCCGCUCAUUUCAUCAUAAUCACACAUAUAGUACAUUCGAAAUAAUCAUUCACACACAUCAUGAUUCAUGUAAGGUUUAAACAUUUGCACAUAAUACAAUCUGGGGCCAUGCCCUAACCUCGGGUGUUAUAGUUUUCUUACCUUUCCAAUCAAUAGCUUAGAUCACCUGACUCCUUGAGCACGAUCCCACCCGAGCCUUAGCGCACACCUAGGCACAAACAUAGGUCAAAGUCAACACCGAACCCCAAGUCCGAAUACCUAGCCUCGGGACCAAUCCCGAGCCCCCGGGAAGUCCCAAAUCCCCAAAACAAAGUGGCGGAAACAAGCCCCGAACCCUAGGUCAAAAUCCAUCAUCAAAACUCAAAAAUUCCCCUCUGUGAACAGUGCAGCGCUACAGCGCCCUAAAGAGGGCGCUGUAGCGCUACAAGCAGAACACCCCUCCAGAAACAGGGACUAGCGCUACAGCGCCCACUGACUAGCGCUGUAGCGCUAGUUGCAGCCCAGAAAUCCCAAUAUCGCAUUUCUGCGAUUUCUUUCACCCAAUCUCAAACCAAACUUCCCCAAAUCUUUACCAAACUCAAAAUCAAGCUUAUGAACACUCUCCAUUCAUCCCAAGCAUCCCAAAUCCUCAAAUCCCAAGAUCAUUUAUCCCAAAUCUCAAAAUCUACCAUGAACAACCCUAAACCAGAAAUUCAAGCAAACCACAAAGUUAAAGUCUUAGAAAUCAUACCAUUGCUGCAAAUUUCGACCUUGAUUCAACCCUAGGCCUCCUUAGCUUACUCUCCCUCAAAGCUUGCCCAGAAAUCCCCUGAGAUUCCCAUCAAUCCAGCUCAAAACACAGCUCAAACCAUCAAAACCCUUAAAACCGAAAAUCUCUAAAACUUACCUCAAACAUUGAUGUGUUCUUGCCAAAUCUUCAAGUCUAACCCAAGAUCCUUGAUGCUCAGCCUAUCCUUGCUCUCCCUCAAAGCUUUUCCCCAAGAAAACGGAGAGGAACGGUGCAAGAACGCACAAACCGUUUCUUGAGAAAACCCCCCCCCUGUUUUCUCUCUUUUCUUUCUUUCCUUCUUCUUUCUUUUCUUUUUCUUUCAGCAUUCCCUCUCUCUAUAAAGCCUUAUAAAAACCUAUCUCCAAAAGCCAAAUGACCAAAACGCCCUCCCUAUAAAUUCUAAAUCCUUUUGUUCAAGUAGGGCCAUUUUAGUCAUUCACCCAAUUCCCGCUAAUCCUCAAGUGUCUCUAAUAUUUUCCCGUUGCUUCCCACUACCUGAUAAAUCACCAAAUAAUUAUCCCCCAUCAUCAAAAUAAAUCUCAAUCUAUUUCUCUGAAUUCCUGUUCGUACCCCCAGGCUCGUCCCGAGCUGGGUAUAAAUUCUUGUCAUCACUUUCCGCUAGCCUGCCCACUGGGAUCGCCUCGAGUCACAAAGCACAGAUACAUCCACAUACCACUGUGGCCUCAGCAAUCAACACAUAUCAAUACAGUUACGCCCAAUCAUGACCAAAUUACAAUUAUGCCCUUCUAACACGAUCCGGGCCUACAUGCACACUAACUUACAUAGUCAUGCAUCUCAGAUAAACAAAUAGUCAUAUAACAUGCUUUAAAUCAUAACCAUGCAUUUAAAUAAUUAGAAUCACACAUAAAUCCCAUCAUGCCCUCCUGGCACGCUAAUCAAGGCCCUUAAGCCUUAUUAGCGAAUUUGGGUCGUUACAGUUUUGCAUCUGAGUCAAACCAAAUACAUUUGGGACAUCCUUUCUAAAACUGGUAUGCUGGAUCCCACCCCAUUGGCUGUCUCCUUUGUCUGCUCAUGAUGGAACUCGUCUGGAAGAUGUCACUCAGUACCAUAGUAUUCUGGGCACUCUUCAAUAUUGUACACUCACUAGACCGGAUAUUUCUUUUGCCGUAAAUUGCUUGUGCUAAUUUAUGCACGCUUUUACUGAUGUACACAUGUUAGCUGUCAAGCGUGUCCUUCGCCAUUUGAAGGGAACUGCUCAUCUUGGCCUGUGGUUCCACCCUCAAUCGACUCACUCUCUAUUCUGUUAUAUGGAUGCGGAUUGGGCUGCUUGCCCCGAUGACAGGCGUAGUACGAGUGCCUUCUGUUUAUUUCUCGGUCAUAACUUGAUUUCCUGGAGUUCCUCCAAACAGAAAGUUGUCUCCUGUUCUAGUACUGAGUCGGAAUAUUGAGCUCUCGCCAAUGGUGUUGCUGAAGUAUCUUGGGUCCUUUUUUUGCUGUCUGAUUUACACCUGCCUCCUUCCACUCCUCCAGUGUUUUACUGUGAUAAUGUAAGUACUUUAAAUUUGGCUUCGAAUCCAGUUCUGCACAGCCGGUCUAAGCAUGUUGAAAUCGAUUUGCACUUUGUUCAUGAAAGAGUUCAAUCUGGUUCCAUUGUGCUAGCCUACACAGCGUAUGAGCAUCAGCUAGCUGAUUGUCUUACAAAGUCCUUAACAACGUCUCGGUUUCAAGCUUUGUGUACCAAACUGUUCUCCCUAGGCCAGUGAGUUUGCGGGGAUGUUAAACCAUAGUUACUGUGUAAUUUUCCUUAUUAAUUGUUUUAGUUAAUUCUGUUAGUGGGUACUGUUUUAGCCUUUAUUUGGGCUUUCGGGUGUAAGGGUCCAAGUGCCCACAUAUAUAUAACUAACAUUUAUACCCUGUUGCCUUUUGAGGAAUGUUAUUACACUUUACACA